AGUAUCGUAGUUCAAUGGCUAGAGCACCCGACUGUCUCUCGGGAAGCUGCGGGUUCGAAUCCCGUCGGUACUGCUA
rnacentral:tRNA from 1 species